UCUACUGAUUGGGAGGACAAGGGGGGUCGAACCCAGUGUUGGAAGGCUGGUUCUACUCCUCUCUUUCCUUCUUCUUUCUUGUUUAAUCCUCCAGCCACAAAGAUGGACCUAGUUGAAUCUUCUUCUUCUUUCGACUGUACACCUUGAUGUCCCCAUCAAUUGAGCUUUCUUACGUCUCAACUUGGUGAUGUUUGACAUGUUUUGCAAAUUUAUUUCAGGUUACAGAUCUAGCCUGGGCUUUUGAUGGCCGCUGCUUGUAUAGUUCUAGCCAGGAAAAUUCUGCACAUAGCUGGAUUUUAAUAGGUAGCUCUUUGAAAGAAGUGCCCUUUCCUUCAAAUCCUUUGGGUGUUAGAAGCUCUCUUGAUCUUCCUUAUGUAUCUGAUUCAUGCUUUGGUCUUGCAAUCUCUCCUGGAAACUUGGUGGCCACUGUGAUGAUGGGAUUGAGAUUCAUGAAGAGGGAGAUGAAGAGCCUAUUGCAUACCUAUCCUAUGGUCUAACAAGGAUGAGGGUGGAUGUUAUUUCUAGUUUCUUGAUGAUCAUAUUUUUCUUUAACUUUUUCUUUAAAGUCUUUAGUAAGGCUUAUGGACCUUUAAUGCCAUUUCUUUUUAAACCUUCCUAUGAGGGAAGUGUCUUUUAUUUUGUUAUUUAAUAUUUAAGA